rnacentral:sRNA from 1 species
UACCUUAAGAGAGUCAUA